rnacentral:rRNA from 1 species
GACGAACCGAGCGAACGUUGUUCGGAAUCACUGGGCUUAAAGGGCGCGUAGGCGGGUGCUCAAGUCCGGGGUGAAAUCCUCCAGCUCAACUGGAGAACUGCCUCGGAUACUGGGUACCUCGAGGGUGGUAGGGGUAUGCGGAACUAUCGGUGGAGCGGUGAAAUGCGUUGAUAUCGAUAGGAACUCCGGUGGCGAAGGCGGCAUACUGGACCACAUCUGACGCUGAGGCGCGAAAGCCAGGGGAGCAAACGGG